rnacentral:rRNA from 1 species
AUUGAACGCUGGCGGCAGGCUUAACACAUGCAAGUCGAGCGGGGGAGAUUGCUUCGGUAAUUGACCUAGCGGCGGACGGGUGAGUAAUACUUAGGAAUCUGCCUAUUAAUGGGGGACAACAUCUCGAAAGGGAUGCUAAUACCGCAUACGCCCUACGGGGGAAAGCAGGGGAUCACUUGUGACCUUGCGUUAAUAGAUGAGCCUAAGUCGGCUUAGCUGGUUGGUGGGGUAAAGGACUACCAAGGCGACGAUCUGUAGCGGGUCUGAGAGGAUGAUCCGCCACACUGGGACUGAGACACGGCCCAGACUCCUACGGGAGGCAGCAGUGGGGAAUAUUGGACAAUGGGGGGAACCCUGAUCCAGCCAAGCCGCGUGUGUGAAGAAGGCCUUAUGGUUGUAAAGCACUUCAAGCGAGGAGGAGGCUCUUUUGGUUAAUACCCAAGAUGAGUGGACGUUACUCGCAGAAUAAGCACCGGCUAACUCUGUGCCAGCCGCCGCGGUAACAC